UUUCCUACGGGGCGCAGCAGUGGGGAAUAUUGCACAAUGGGGGAAACCCUGAUGCAGCGACGCCGCGUGAGUGAAGAAGUAAUUCGUUAUGUAAAGCUCUAUCAGCAGGGAAGAAAAUGACGGUACCUGAAGAAGAAGCCCCGACUAACUACGUGCCAGCAGCCGCGGUAAUACGUAGGGGGCAAGCGUUAUCCGGAUUUACUGGGUGUAAAGGGGGCGCAGACGGCGAUGCAAGCCAGGAGUGAAAGCCCGGGGCCCAACCCCGGGACUGCUCUUGGAACUGCGUGGCUAGAGUGCAGGAGGGG
rnacentral:rRNA from 1 species